rnacentral:lncRNA from 1 species
UAAAUAAACAAUAACUCACUUCAAUAUAACUAAAAAUUGUUCAAUACAUAAGCACAACAAGAUAUUUAAUCCACACUUUAAUAUGAAUAUUUCCAUUAACAAGAUUCAAGUGUUGAAAAAAAUACUACACACUUAAAUAUUCAAUAUAAAGUAAGGAAAUGAAGAAAUGAGCAUAAAUGAGUAAGCAAUUCUCAACCAAAAGCUUCAAAUCUUCAAGACCUAAGUGUGUGUGCAAGCUGACCAGGCUUUCUUUUUGGCAUUCGCACAGCUUCAACCGCGUUCGCAUAGCUUCAUUAACCCGGACUUCUGCGAUUGCAUAUAACUCUCCGUGAUAUUAAACUAGUACUUGUCCUCAAGCAAUUCGACAACUAAGAACAUCAUUAAAUAAAAUAAGCUCAAUGGCGUAUCAAACAUCAUUUCAGCUCACAAAGGUUCAAAUUGGACACAAUCUAGUGACUUCAGUUGGUACCAACAAUCAAUCCAAAAAAUAUGAAUCACCAACAAUUUCUCACAAAUUCCAUUUAAAUUUAAGUGCUGAAACACCACAGUAAUCAAAGUAGAAACCAAGUCAUGACACUAAAGCUUCAAAAUUUGCCUCAUUAUUACAAAUAAUUUUCUUUUGUACAUUCCUGCCUAUUGGAUUUUGGAUUAAGUUCAAAACCUAAAAUUUUCUGUGCCCUCACACUUAAGACAGAGUCACCAACAUAUAAAUUGCAAUUAAUAAACAAAUGGGAUAUCAAAUGGAAAGAAUUAAUGCUCUCUCAUACAAAGAUAUUCAAAUGCACAUAAGUAAUGACAUAUGCUUGCCCUUCAAGUAUUUCUCCACUAAUGUAGACACUUGGUUCAAAAUAAAGUAGGACUUAAAGGAUGGUAGAGUAGGUUUUUGGUUAAGGUAGGACACAACAUGGAUAACAGUGACUCAAAACCUCCCUAAGCACUAUAAUUUUCAACUAUUAAAGCACACUUCCUUCAAAAAUUUAUCCAUCCUUUCUUCACUUUUUAUUUCAUACCUAAUCUUCCCUUUAUCCACAAAUCCUUAUUUUUUUCCCUUUUCUUCUUUAUUACUCUACUUUUUUCAUAAAUCAAGGAAGGUUCCACUACUAUUUUUUUAUUACCUUUCACCUUUUCUGCAACUUACACAACAUAACUUUUCCAACCUUCAGCCACAAACUUAGGCUUUUAGCCUAUGUUUACACUUUCAAAGUACUUAGGGAGGUAGGAUGCCAAAAGAUAAAUCAAUAAAGAAUGAAGGGUUUAAGCUUGUAACAUAGUUGCCAAAGAAAAAGUUUAAAGGCUCAAAAGGGGCUGACUAGGGAAAAUCUGCAAGGGUAGAAAAUUUAAGGCAUAAUAACGGUCCAAGGAAGGCCUAACAUCAUUUUUCAAACCAAGUUAGUCUAGGAUUUUGCUUUGAAGCACAUUCCGGGCAAGUUCUAGACUACAAAUAAUGCACGAGAAUUCACAACAAGUCUCACCACACAUGGCACAUGGAAACUCGAUUGCCAUAUAAAUCCAAAAUCCAAUUAAAAUCAAUAAACCGAAAGAAAAUCACAUAUAGCCUAAAAGACCACUUAAUGAAUCAAAGAGCCAAAAAUAGAACCUAAACUUCACAACAAGUAUUAUCACAUCAAUCAUUUUUCAUUUUAAAGAUCAAGAUUUCAUAUAUCAAAGUUUAAAUCAUGUUGGUACCAAACAAGCUACACGUUGGUUUAUGGACAAUAAGAUCACAACCCAAAACCAAUUUAUUCACUAUUAGCUACUAAACUAACUAAAUUUUUUUUACCUAAAACUAGACAAGACUAAUCCUUUAAGAAAGUUGUCACGCUAUCCAUCAUAGAGAAAAGUCACCCGGUUCGACACAAAUUAUCUUCUUGAAAAAGAACAGUGACAUAAAUAAAAAUCAAGGAGUUUAAUUAGCACUACUACAAAUAAAUAUAGUAACGAAAUAACAAAAUAAAAACUAAUGCUAACAUGCUAGAAAUAAACUACAAAAUAUCACUAAUAAACUACAAAUGUUAACCAAUCUACACAAGUUCACAAAAAAUCGUCAUGCUCCAAAUACAUCAUCACAUAUUAAUGAGCUACCCCUAACCUAAAGUGUUGCACUGUCCUCAAUGCAACUAAACAAAACAAGAUGAAAUGAAAGAGGUGCUCCCUGAAACUGCAUCACUUGGAGCUGAAAGUGGUGGGAAAUUCGAGCUCCAAAUUCUGCUCCUCAUCGUCCUCUGAUUCAUGUGAGCCACAGAAUGAACUCAUCUUGUGCAUCAUUUUGGACAAGACUUUUCUUUUCUUUUUCUCAUGCUCAUUGAAAUUCUGUUGUUGCCUCUCAAUAUUUCCUUGUCUUCGGCUCAUGUCUUCCAACCUAUUUUUUAUUGCUUUUUGUUCUUGAACUACAUCAUCUAGAGAUGUCUUCUUACCAGUCCCAGUAGAAGUUCCCUCCCUAGAUUGACUGGACGGAAGGCUAGCUACAAGUUGGCAAAUGUGUGCAUCGAUGCCAUAGAUUUGACUAGAGAGGAAGCGCAUAGUGGGAGGUCCAUAAAUUCCUAAAUUAUAGAUUUGUCAUCCAUAAUAGCAGCAAUCAACAAUGCCUUCUCAGGCGUCGCCUCAAACUCAUGUUUAGACGGCAAGAUUCUGGUAGCAAUAAUGGACAGCCAUGUCUUGGCUUCAACUAUGAACCAGGAAGAAUUAACACCUUUGUGCAAUCUUUCCCAAGUCAGAGUCACCCGUAGUCCGCAACACAUUUUAUAUAACAUUGUUGAGAUUUGGAUUUGGGUCACAUGAAAUGCACACCGGAGUUUAGGAAGGUAAUUUAAAAUUACGCGCCUAAAGCAACUACGCACUUUAAAGUUUGCAAGGGCCAUGGAAAAUUCAACUAAUGGCACACCUCGAUUCUAAUUUCAAAGGAUGUUUGAACUAAACUUUUGAGGGUCAUAAAUUAUAUCUUGCCUAAUAUGGCACACCUCUAAUUAUUUCAAAGGGUUUUAUUAUUUGAAGUUGUUAUAAUCGGGUUACAUGAAAUGCAUACCUGAAUUUAGAAAAUUAAGCAUCGUAACUAUGUCACAGGAACCGUACCCAUAAUCACGAUGGUUUAUUAUUAAUCGCGUCUAAAGUAAGCUAUGAUGUUUAAAGAACAAACUCAAACAAGUGACACUGGAACAUCAACCAACAGAGCAGAUGGCCAAGAAAUUCAAAAAUCCACAUCAAUUAAAUCAACAAAGAAAUAGCAAUUUGAAGAAUUCUAUAUGAGCUCAGCUCAAAGACAAUGUGAAUGGAACUGAAGCAAGAAUUUCAGUGCAAUGUAUCAAAAACGAGACUACUGAAUCACUCAAGCUUGGCCAAUCGAGUUUGCGCACAAAAAUUUGUUCCUUGAAAGACUAUUUCCACGAAUGAGCUUAUAGAUUCUAGGCACCCCAUGCUCAUUUGUUUAGAGCAAAUUAAGAACAAUCCAAAGAACAACAAAUCAUGACUUAAUCUAUUGGUAAUUAAUCAUAUAGUAGCCAACAAUUGCGAUUAAAUUGAUGUAAUGAAAUUCCUUCAGUUCUACCUAUGGGACUACACCAAUUAGUCGUUCAUUUGCCUUUUACAUGUUUUCAUUAACGUUUCCCUUCACCAUUUCACAAGAAGACAAAGAAGAAAAAUGCACAUUUAUAUGUUUGUUUCCAAUAGAAUAAACACAAUAAAUUCUAACUUAGCAACUCAACCUUAUGUUUCAAUGUAAGGCUCCAGCGAUUAAACAGAUCAAUAAUAAUUAUCAAACAAAAUAAUGACCGAGAUGGUGACAUAUGAAAAAUUUCUAACAAUUCUUAUUACCAAUAAAAUAUGCAAAUUUAUAUUGUUUAAUCAAGGAAAAGUACCUUGAAAGCAGUAACAAGGCUUUAAAAUUGCCAAAUAAUGGUUGAAAAAUACCAGUUAGCAAUUCCGGUGCAAACAGCAACAAAUACAGCAGCAAUUCACGGAAAUUUCAAACCGAAGUAAUGCUUAUGAACCCAAAAAAUGGGAAUGACCACUAGUAGCAAGUUUCGACUCAAAGCUUUAGAGAAAACCCAAGAAUUUGCAGCAAUUUAUGUCGAACUUAGGAACACCCUUUUAAUUUUCUUUUUUCGUCGACUUGACUCGAUUUCUGAACAGAGAAGGGGAAUUAAAGGUGGGGAAUAACGUUCCCUUUGUUGAAAAUCAGAAGAUGAGCGAGUUGAGGAAGGAUAAGGAAAGCGGAUGUUUUGAUUUUUCUUUGGAGAAAACGAGGGGAAAUAGGUUAGGUUUCAUUGGAUGUAGAAGAAGGAUGAAGCCAUUUGAAAAUGGAAUGGAGGACUGAAUUUUUGGUCUCUAGGCAGCCAUUAAAGGUGCUGCCCCUAGCUUCUCUCCAGGGGAGCCUCCCUAUCUCCUUAGGUUUUGU